rnacentral:rRNA from 1 species
UAGCAUAUCAAUAAGCGGAGGAAAAGAAACCAACAGGGAUUGCUCUAGUAACGGCGAGUGAAGCAGCAAUAGCUCAAAUUUGAAAUCUGGCGUCUUCGGCGUCCGAGUUGUAAUUUGUAGAGGAUGCUUCUGAGUAACCACCGACCUAAGUUCCUUGGAACAGGACGUCAUAGAGGGUGAGAAUCCCGUAUGCGGUCGGAAAGGUGCUCUAUACGUAGCUCCUUCGACGAGUCGAGUUGUUUGGGAAUGCAGCUCUAAAUGGGAGGUAAAUUUCUUCUAAAGCUAAAUAUUGGCCAGAGACCGAUAGCGCACAAGUAGAGUGAUCGAAAGAUGAAAAGCACUUUGGAAAGAGAGUUAAAAAGCACGUGAAAUUGUUAAAAGGGAAGGGAUUGCAACCAGACUUGCUCGCGGUGUUCCGCCGGUCUUCUGACCGGUCUACUCGCCGCGUUGCAGGCCAGCAUCGUCUGGUGCCGCUGGAUAAGACUUGAGGAAUGUAGCUCCCUCGGGAGUGUUAUAGCCUCUUGUGAUGCAGCGAGCGCCGGGCGAGGUCCGCGCUUCGGCUAGGAUGCUGGCGUAAUGGUCGUAAUCCGCCCGUCUUGAAACACGGACCAAGGAGUCUAACAUCUAUGCGAGUGUUCGGGUGUCAAACCCCUACGCGUAAUGAAAGUGAACGGAGGUGAGAACCGCAAGGUGCAUCAUCGACCGAUCCUGAUGUCUUCGGAUGGAUUUGAGUAAGAGCAUAGCUGUUGGGACCCGAAAGAUGGUGAACUAUGCCUGAAUAGGGUGAAGCCAGAGGAAACUCUGGUGGAGGCUCGCAGCGGUUCCUGACGUGCAAAUCGAUCGUCAAAUUUGGGUAUAGGGGCGAAAGACUAAUCGAACCAUCUAGUAGCUGGUUCCUGCGA